rnacentral:lncRNA from 1 species
CUGGAGGCCAGGGCUGAGGGAAGGCCUGGAGCAGAGCCGGUGCGCGACCUCGCAGUGAGCAGGGAGGGCAGGCUGGGGACGUUCACCACCCAGAACGCCUCUGCUCCCCGCAACCCUGAGACUCCAGGCUCCCCUGUUCCUCCCUCCGGGAGACCCUGCCCGUCCUCCCCGCGGGGCUCCUUCGCAGUUCGGGGGAAGGGACGGGUUGCGUCCUCGGGACCUUUCUCUGCAGCCACAGCAGCGCAUCCCAGCACCUCCUCCAGGAGCCCCGCCACCUCCUGCCACCCGGACUUUCCCCACAGCGCAGCGUCCCCUCGUCCUCUCAGGGCUGGAACAGCGGUACCCGCAGACAGUGCAAAAGGGAAGUCCCUGUUGCCUUCCCAUGCAAACUGUAGGGCGCUUACAGCUGCUGGGAGAGGAAAGGAAAGAAGAAAUACAAGCCUGUGACCCGGAUCCAACCCGCGGCGCACAGACCCCGGCUCUGGGCACCCCUGGUGAGCGCCUUCUGCGCCAGAGCUCCGUACAGCACCAGCCCGCGCUCUCCCCCAGCUUCUGUUCAUUUGCUGCAGUCCUGACGGGUCAGUUGCCUGAGCAUCCAUGCUGCCAUCCAUACAAACCCAGGCACGCAGAGAUGUACAUCCUUUACCCAGGGUGACACCAUGUGGAGCUGAAUCCAAGUCCGGGAGUCUGAUGACCGUGUCUGGGCUCUGACCGCGCAGCCGUCUCACAGUGAAACAAAUUGCGGACUGGCCUUGUCCUGAGUGGCCUUAGGAAGCUGCAGUGGCCUGCAGUCUCCUGGCCAGUCUGUAGAAUUUGGCAAAGAUGAGGCACCUUAUAGCCUUACAUGUUCUUAUUUUUCUUUCCUUUUCUCUUCUUUAUUUUCUUUUUUAAGGAUUUGAAUUAGUAUAUGUAAAG